rnacentral:rRNA from 1 species
UACGGAGGGUGCAAGCGUUAUCCGGAUUUACUGGGUUUAAAGGGUGUGUAGGCGGACUUUAAGUCAGGGGUGAAAUCCCGAGGCUCAACCUCGGAACUGCCUUUGAUACUAUUGGUCUUGAAUGUUGUUGAGGUGGGCGGAACGGGUCAUGUAGCGGUGAAAUGCAUAGAUAUGACCCGGAACACCGAUUGCGAAGGCAGCCCGCUAAGCAACUAUUGACGCUGAGGCACGAAAGCGUGGGGAUCAAACAGG